UGGAACUCUGGCUUUAUCCCUGGCCGGCGCCUCCCGGCCAAUCCCAGCUGAGGCUGCCUGUGUGUCACAAUGGGGCGCCUGUGGCGUCACGCUGGCCCGCCCCACCCCGUGUGCUCGUCUGGAACCGCCCGUCCUACUUGCUGCCCCAUCGCGAGAGUCCUUCCUCUCCAGUUCGGUCCACCACCUGCCCCCAUGCUCGAUCCUCUGUGGAACCAGGAGCUGUCCCACACCUUAUAGAGGCAUACCUGGGAUGACGGACAAUGACUUGCCCGGGAUCACUUUGCCAAUUGGAAAGGAGGAAAAGUCCCACACCCGUGGCGCUGUCUCCGGAGGGUGCUGCGUCCAAGAGGCCCACCCGCAGGGAUGAGCCUGAGUGCGCGAAUCCAAGCACGAGAAGGGAGCUGGGAAUCUCCCGGUGGCUGGGGACCCCUGCUCCUUCUAGAGCCUCUGCCUCUAGGUCUUUAAUAAAGUAUAUACAAUGUGGCGAUCACAGGGCACGCCCUAAGAAACCUGCACACUAACCUCCCUCUCAGACACUGCUUCUGGAGAGCCCAACCUGUGACCGCUGGGUCAGGAGGGGUCUGAGGAAGAAGAUGCUAAGAUGGGAUUCUGGCUCUGGAUCACCCACUGCCUAGCUGCUGAUAAGGAUCCUUUUGCUGGGGGUAGAUGGAGCGGGUACAUGCCCCCGCACAGAGCAGAGCCCUCUCCAACCCACAGCCUAA
rnacentral:lncRNA from 10 species